GAUGAACGCUGGCGGCGUGCCUAAUACAUGCAAGUCGAGCGGACGGACGAGAAGCUUGCUUCUCUGAUGUUAGCGGCGGACGGGUGAGUAACACGUGGAUAACCUACCUAUAAGACUGGGAUAACUUCGGGAAACCGGAGCUAAUACCGGAUAAUAUUUUGAACCGCAGGGUUCAAAAGUGAAAGACGGUCUUGCUGUCACUUCUAGAUGGAUCCGCGCUGCAUUAGCUAGUUGGUAAGGUAACGGCUUACCAAGGCAACGAUGCAUAGCCGACCUGAGAGGGUGAUAGGCCACACUGGAACGUAGACACGGUCCAGACUCCUACGAGAGGGAGCAGUAGGGAAUCUGCCGCAAUGGGCGAAAGCCUGACGGAGCAACGCCGCGUGAGUGAUGAAGGUCUUCGGAUCGUAAAACCCUGUUAUUAGGGAAGAACAUAUGUGUAAGUAACUGUGCACAUCUUGACGGUACCUAAUCAGAAAGCCACGGCUAACUACGUG
rnacentral:rRNA from 1 species